ACCCUUCCCUGAGCCAGGUGGACCUGCCAGCCAAUCAAACAAUUCCUCAAAAAUCCCCAAUCCCACUAAUGCAUACUGUAGACAUACGACUCAGGACUCCCAAAAAGAAAUAUCAAUAAAAAUCCACCGAAAAUGAAAACGACCAAUUUAUACAAGAAAUGGAAAGAGCAUUCCUUUCACCAAAUAGACUGAAAACCCAAUUCAGAGAUUUCAGAAUAAGAAACCCACAACCCUGAAAACUUUAGAGAAAA
rnacentral:misc_RNA from 1 species